GACUGGAUGGCCGAGUGGUCUAAGGCGUGUGACUCAAGCGUUAGCUUGCCUUCGGGCGCAGGGUUCUCAUGGGCGUAUGCCCGCAGGAGUUCGAACCUCCUUCCAGUCA